UGGCCGUUAGCUCAGUUGGUUAGAGCAUGGUGCUAGUAAUGCCAAGGUCAUGAGUUCCAUCCCCGUACAGCCCA
rnacentral:tRNA from 1 species